rnacentral:rRNA from 1 species
CAGUCGCCGCGGGAACACGUAGGGUGCAAGCGUUAAUCGGAAUUACUGGGCGUAAAGCGUGCGCAGGCGGUUUGUUAAGACAGAUGUGAAAUCCCCGGGCUCAACCUGGGAACUGCAUUUGUGACUGGCAAGCUAGAGUGUGGCAGAGGGGGGUGGAAUUCCGCGUGUAGCAGUGAAAUGCGUAGAUAUGCGGAGGAACACCGAUGGCGAAGGCAGCCCCCUGGGCCAACACUGACGCUCAUGCACGAAAGCGUGGGGAGCAAACAGGAUUAGAUACCCCCGUAGUCCCUGUCUCUUAUAC